UACGUAGGGAGCAAGCGUUGUCCGGAUUUAUUGGGCGUAAAGGGCUAGUAGGCGGUUCAGCAAGUCGGGUGUGAAAACUCUAGGCUCAACCUGGAGACGCCACCCGAUACUGCUGUGACUGGAGUCUGGUAGGGGAGCGACGGAAUACCUGGUGUAGCGGUGAAAUGCACAGAAUAUCAGGUGGAACACCGGUGGCGAAGGCGGUGCGUCUGGGCCAGUACGUGACGCUGAAUAGCGAAAGCGUGGGUAGCGAAACAGG
rnacentral:rRNA from 1 species